CUACCAUGCAAGUCGAGCGGCAGCGGAAAGUACCUUGCUACUUUGCCGGCGAGCGGCGGACGGGUGAGUAAUGUCUGGGAAACUGCCUGAUGGAGGGGGAUAACUACUGGAAACGGUAGCUAAUACCGCAUAACGUCGCAAGACCAAAGAGGGGGACCUUCGGGCCUCUUGCCAUCAGAUGUGCCCAGAUGGGAUUAUCUAGUAGGUGGGGUAACGGCUCACCUAGGCGACGAUCCCUAGCUGGUCUGAGAGGAUGACCACCCACACUGGAACUGACACACGGUCCACACUCCUACGGGAGGCAGCAGUGGGGAAUAUUGCACAGUGGGCGCAAGCCUGAUGCACCCAUGCCGCGUGUAUGAAAAAGGCCUUCGGGUUGUAAAGUACUUUCAGCGGGGAGGAAGGUGUUGAGGUUAAUAACCUCAGCGAUUGACGUUACCCGCAAAAAAAGCACCGGCUAACUCCGUGCCAGCAGCCGCGGUAAUACGGAGGGUGCAAGCGUUAAUCGGAAUUACUGGGCGUAAAGCGCACGCAGGCGGUCUGUCAAGUCAGAUGUGAAAUCCCCGGGCUCAACCUGGGAACUGCAUUCAAAACUGGCAGGCUAGAGUCUUGUAGAGGGGGGUAGAAUUCCGGGUGUAGCGGUGAUAUGCGUAGAGAUCUGGAGGAAUACCGGUGGCGAACGCGGCCCCCUGCACAAAGACUGACUCUCAUGUGCGAAAGCGUGGGGAGCACACAAGAUUAUAUACCCUGGUACUCCACGCCGUACACGAUGUCGACUUGGA
rnacentral:rRNA from 1 species